GCCUCUGUAGCUCAGUGGUAGAGCGUUACCUUGGUAAGGUAAAGGUCGCGAGUUCAAUUCUCGUCAGAGGCU
rnacentral:tRNA from 1 species